ensembl:snRNA U6 U6 spliceosomal RNA
GUGCUGUCUUUGGCAGCACUUAUACUCAAAUUGGAACGAUACAGAGAAGAUUAGCAUGGCCCCUGCACAAGGACGACUUGCAAAUUUGUGAAGCAUUCCAUAUUUUU